UUUUGUUACAGUUCAGUGUUUCUGUUGUUCCGUUGUUUUCUGCUUAAAGUUGAUGCGUUUCCAUCGUGUUUGGUUGAUUUGCAACCCGGAUUUGUUUUCGCUUUAUCGAUUUAUGACUAUUUAACAGCAGUAUACUACUGUUGCCUUUAUAUGGUCUCUGAUAAAUAGUCGUCCGAAUUCAAUCAUAACACAUCUCCUGAUUUAUAUAUUUAAGAUAGUUACUAGUAAAACUACUAGUAUAUGAUCUCACCAGCAUUUAAAGGAAGUAUGCAAAACAUAUAUAUUGUUUUGCUUUGUGAUAUUAUUUAAUUUGAUUUC
rnacentral:lncRNA from 1 species